GCAAGUCGAACGGGAUCUUCGGAUCUAGUGGCAGACGGGUGAGUAACGCGUGGGAACCUGCCCAGUAGUAGAGAAUAACUUGAGGAAACUUAAGCUAAUACUUUAUACACCCUUCGGGGAAAAGCUUUAUGCGCUAUUGGAUGGGCCCGCGUUAGAUUAGUUUGUUGGUGAGGUAAUGGCUCACCAAGACUACGAUCUAUAGCUGGUCUGAGAGGAUGAUCAGCCACACUGGGACUGAGACACGGCCCAGGCUCCUACGGGAGGCAGCAGUGGGGAAUAUUGGACAAUGGGGGCAACCCUGAUCCAGCGAUGCCGCGUGAGUGAUGAAGGCCUUCGGGUUGUAAAACUCUUUCGUCAGGGAAGAUAAUGACGGUACCUGAAGAAGAAGAUCCGGCUAACUCCGUGCCAGCAGCCGCGGUAAUACGGAGGGAUCUAGCGUUAUUCGGAAUUACUGGGCGUAAAGCGAGCGUAGGCGGAUUUGUAAGUUGGAGGUGAAAUCCCAGAGCUUAACUCUGGAACUGCCUUCAAAACUACAUUUCUUGAGUUUGGUAGAGGAGAGUGGAAUUCCUAGUGUAGAGGUGAAAUUCGUAGAUAUUAGGAGGAACACCAGUGGCGAAGGCGACUCUCUGGGCCAAUACUGACGCUGAGGUUCGAAAGCAUGGGUAGCGAACAGGAUUAGAUACCCUGGUAGUCCAUGCAGUAAACGAUGAGUGCUAGAUGUUGGGAAUUUAAAUUUCCAGUAUCGCAGUUAACGCGUUAAGCACUC
rnacentral:rRNA from 1 species